UAUUAUAAAUCUUAAAUGUAAGAGUUGAUGUUUUAAAUCAAAAAAUGAUAUAUUAACACAUAAUUA
rnacentral:tRNA from 1 species